AUCUCCUGGCUUCUGCUCUGAAUUUACACUAACUAGCACUUAAUAGUCAAUGGCCAAAGAAUGGACUUACCCAUUUUUGAGUUCCAGAAAGUGGCAAUAUAUAACCUUUCUGCAGGGAGGGGUAUUUAAUAUGAGUAAACAAAUUACCAUCAGCCCUUACUAUCCUUUUUGAAUUCCAAGGAAAAUAAUAUUGAAAUUUAUCAUAAAGUUUCCCAUAGUGGAAAUGACAUCUUUAAAGGAGAUGAAACUUAUUACACUGAUAUUUAUAAUACGAAAUUUAGGAAGGGAUUCCUGAGUGGCUCAACACUCUGGAGAUGACAAAGUACAGACGACUCGGCUCCUUCUCUUGAUGAACUCACAGUGCAGGAGGAAGAAAGAAACAGAUCACUGACUAUAAUUCAACACACAGAGAGAGAGGCAGAGACACAGGCAGAGGGAGAAGCAGACUCCAUGCAGGGAGCCGGACAUGGGACUCGAUCCUGGGUCUCCAAGAUCAGGCCCUGGGCCAAAGGUGGGGCUAAACUGCUGAGCCACUGGGGCUGCCCCUCCUGGGAAACAUUCUUAAGAUAUGUGCUUCAAUCUCCAACUACCAAUAACACACAAAAGAGCUGGGACACGUCCUUCUUAUAAAGUUUCCAAGAUGAUUGUACCUUCAACCUAGAUGAACACCACAACAUUUCUAUGUUUUGAUCUACUAAAACAAGGAUCUUUAGC